rnacentral:lncRNA from 1 species
GACUCUACAGGUUUGAUUUGUACAUAAGUUUUUGCUUAUGUGUCCAUGUGGGUUAUCUAGAGAACGCUCACCAUCUCCAGCUUGUAUGUUCUCUGUUUCUUUUAUCUCAAAAGGGUAAGACAGAGCUGAGAGAUGUGACAGGAACGUAACAGAGAUAAUAUGAACAUCUUAAACUAUAUUAUAUCAGGAGGUUGAUGCUCGUGAAGACAGCCAUAUCGCCAUGGCUCCUUCAAGUUUGGUGUAAUGUACUCCCGUCUGAGAGUAGAAAUCUUGUUGCGUAUACAAUAAAUAAAAAGAUAUAACGUGUUAGUAAAAAAACUGAUUUGCUAUAACAUCUAAACAAAUAACAUCAUAUAAAGAUUAAAAAUAAGACUCCCGGCAGACGCAUCUAUCAAUUUAGUUACAAAAAAAAAAAAAAAAAAAAAAAAAAAAAAAAAAGAUUAAAAAUAAGACUAAAUGAUAAUAAUAAUAAUGCUAAAAAUAUAUAUUAUUACACUUUCAAUUAUUUUGAAGUGUGAAAAAUAUCAACGGGUUUUUCUAUUAACAUAAUAAAAACACUACUAGGGGACUGAAGUAGCUAGAAAGAACAUUGUGAAACCAAAUGUUAGAGUUAAAUUAUUACAAACACAUUUUUUUCCUCAGCAACACUUUUCAUUUGAUUGAGUGAUACGGUUGAGGAACAACAUGAUAGGGACCUAAACAAGCAGAAUUUUUUUUUAAUCCGGAGACUAUGCUGGUGAAAUACAUAAUUUUCCGAAAACAAAGAUCUGAACACAUAUUUUUUC